CUUCACUGGAACGGGUAACACUAUUAAAGGAAAGGAGAUUAACAAAUGGGUUCACAAGCUUUGAAUAUGACCUUUGUUUUCGUUCAGUUCACCUCCAAGACGAGCUCGUAGUCCUCUUAGAAGGUCUCCUAUUGGUCGUAUGCGUACUCCUCUUAUUCGUACAACUGCUUGCUCCCGACGGAGAGGUCGAGUACUAGUCGGAAGACAUGGGUGGUCAUCAUCCUACUCUGGAUCACCUAGUCCAUGCAAGUUACCUCGGAGAUCAAGGAGUCGUAGCCCAAGAAGGCCCAUUAAAGGAAGAAGCAGUAGCAACAGCAGACACAGUAGUUCUCCACUGCUGCCUCGAAAACCAUAGGUAAGCACUGCCUCUCUAUAUCCCCAAAUGCCCCUUGCCCUCCCCUCCCCAACCCUCCCCUGCCUUCCCUCCUCCCAACCCCCUAAAAAAGAAUCUGAGUUAUGUAUGAUGUAAUGUUGAGGUGGUAUUGACUAUGAGAACAAGAUAUUGUGGCUGUAAUAUGCUCUCCGAAGGUAGCAUCUAGGUUUGUCUCAAUUAUGUUGGAGGCAAUGUUAAGCACUGGUUAUUUGCUGUUUAUUUUUUCAAAAAUUAUUUAAGCUAAACAUUCUGAUGGAAGAAGCAAUAUGCAAAAGCUGUAUUC